rnacentral:rRNA from 1 species
UUUCGCAAUGCCCGAAAGGGUGACGAAGCGACGCCGCGUGGGUGAGGAAGGCCUUCGGGUUGUAAAGCCCUGUCAGGAGUUAAGAAAUGUAAGUGCGCUAAUACCGCAUUUAUUUGACGAAGGCUCCAAAGGAAGCCACGGCUAACUCUGUGCCAGCAGCCGCGGUAAUACAGAGGUGGCAAGCGUUGUUCGGAAUUAUUGGGCGUAAAGAGCACGUAGGUGGGUUUGUAAGUCAGAUGUGAAAGCCUCCUGUUCAACGGGAGAAUUGCAUCUGAAACUACAGAUCUUGAGUGUAGGAGGGGAGAAUGGAACUUCUGGUGGAGCGGUGAAAUGCGUAGAUAUCAGAAGGAACGCCGGCGGCGAAAGCGAUUCUCUGGCCUAUUACUGACACUCAGUGUGCGAAAGCUAGGGUAGCAAACGGGAUUAGAUACCCCGGUAGUCCUAGCCGUAAACGAUGGGCACUAAGUAGAGGGGUUUUA